GACGAACGCUGGCGGCGCGCUUAACACAUGCAAGUCGAACGGAAAGGCCUGCUUUCCCUUGUGGAUUGCGGGUACUCGAGUGGCGAACGGGUGAGUAACACGUGAGUGAUCUGCCCCCAACUUGGGUAUAAGCCUGGGAAACUGGGUCUAAUUCCCGAUAGGACUGCAGGGUGGUGCCUGUGGUGGAAAACGAUUUUCUAGUGGUUGGGGAUGAGCUCGCGGCCUAUCAGCUUGUUGGUGGGGUAAUGGCCUACCAAGGCGGCGACGGGUAGCCGGCCUGAGAGGGUGGACGGCCACAUUGGGACUGAGAUACGGCACAGACUCCUACGGGAGGCAGCAGUGGGGAAUAUUGCACAAUGGGCGGAAGCCUGAUGCAGCGACGCCGCGUGGGGGAUGACGGCCUUCGGGUUGUAAACUCCUUUCGACCGCGAGGAAGCCACCUGGUUGGAAGGGUGGUGACGGUAGUGGUAGAAGAAGCACCGGCUAACUACGUG
rnacentral:rRNA from 1 species